rnacentral:tRNA from 2 species
GGGCCCGUGGUCUAGCCCGGCUAUGACAUCCGCUUGACUUGCGGAGGAUCCCCAGUUCAAAUCUGGGCGGGCCCA